rnacentral:rRNA from 1 species
AUUGAACGCUGGCGGCAGGCCUAACACAUGCAAGUCGAGCGGAUGAAGGGAGCUUGCUCCUGGCUUCAGCGGCGGACGGGUGAGUAAUGCCUAGGAAUCUGCCUGGUAGUGGGGGAUAACGUCCGUACACGGGCGCUAAUACCGCAUACGUCCUGAUGGAGAAAGUGGGGGAUCUUCGGACCUCACGCUAUCAGCUGAGCCUAGGUCGGAUUAGCUAGUUGCUGGGGUAAAGGCCUACCAAGGCGACGAUCCGUAACUGGUCUGAGAGGAUGAUCAGUCACACUGGAACUGAGACACGGUCCAGACUCCUACGGGAGGCAGCAGUAGGGAAUAUUGGGCAAUGGGCGAAAGCCUGAUCCAGCCAUGCCGCGUGUGUGAAGAAGGUCUUCGGAUUGUAAAGCACUUUAAGUUGGGAGGAAGAGCAGUAAGUUAAUACCUGGAUGUUUUGACGUUACCAACAGAAUAAGCACCGGCUAACUUCGUG